UACAAUCCUUACAAGUUAGCCCAACACAGGUUUAAUCCACGCGCACUCCCUCCCUUUAAAUGGAGCGUCAAUUCCACGCGCGUCACUCAAACGAUUACGCUUCGAAAAAACCGCUCGUUAUGGCUCACUCUUCCUCUUCUCCUUCAAAGAUAACACAAAUCCUCAAGUUUCGAGCAACAUUCCAAACCAAAGAGACAUUUGAACUCGUCGCGAAUAAUAGCAGAAACCAUCAACAAAAUAUUAUUCAAGCAAAUCAAGGACCUAAAGUGUGCAACCCAUCUGUUGAGUGAGAAAUUCAGAAAUAUGAGCGAGGAGAAGUGAUGCAAUAAGACUGUCCAGGCCAUCAUCAUUGUUAUUGAGUCCAUUUUGUUAGAUAGAUUAUAAUGAUAUUGUCACUGAUUAAUGUAACUGUUAUAUACUCUUGUAAGAAAUUGAACACAUGGUGUAAAUAUAUUUGAUCCAAUUAUAAGUAAAUUUUUUUCCAUAAUUAAACUCU